UAUUUUUGGCACACGGAGGCCGCCCGCCAAGUCUGGUGCCAUUCCGAGUCCCGCGGACGAACUUCGCCCACGCCCCCCACCAAGGCUAUAGCCCACCCCUUUUUUGGCCAUUUUUCCGCUGGGGGGUCUUGGGACCCCGAACUUCGGGGGCUGUUUUUUGGGCGCGGCUGUGCCCGUGGCCUAUUUUUGGCACACGGAGGCCGCCCGCCAAGUCUGGUGCCAUUCCGAGUCCCGCGGACGAACUUCGCCCACGCCCCACACCAAGGCUAUAGCCCACCCGUUUUUUGGCCAUUUUUCUGCUGGGGGGUCUUGGGACCCCGACCUUGGGGGGCUGGUUUUUGGGCGCGGCUGUGCCCGUGGCCUAUUGUUUGCACACGGAGGCCGCCCGCCAAGUCUGGUGCCAUUCCGAGUUCCGCGGACGAACUUCGCCCACGCCCCCCACCAAAGCUAUAGCCCACCCGUUUUUUGGCCAUUUUUCCGCUGGGGGGUCUAGGGACCCCGAACUUCGGGGGCUGUUUUUUGGGCGCGGCUGUGCCCGUGGCCUAUUUUUGGCACACGGAGGCCGCCCGCCAAGUCUGGUGCCAUUCCGAGUCCCGCGGACGAACUUCGCCCACGCCCCCCACCAAGGCUAUAGCCCACCCGUUUUUUGGCCAUUUUUCCGCUGGGGGGUCUUGGGACCCCGACCUUCGGGGGCUUUUUUUUGGGCGCGGCUGUGCCCGUGGCCUAUUUUUGGCACACGGAGGCCGCCCGCCAAGUCUGGUGCCAUUCCGAGUCCCGCGGAUGAACUUCGCCCACGCCCCCCACCAAGGCUAUAGCCCACCCGUCUUUUGGCCAUUUUUCCGCUGGGGGGUCUUGGGACCUCGACCUUCGGGGGCUGGUUUUUGGGCGCGGCUGUGCCCGUGGCCUAUUUUUGGCACACGGAGGCCGCCCGCCAAGUCUGGUGGCAUUCCGAGUCCCGCGGACGAACUUCGCCCACGCCACCCACCAAGGCUAUAGCCCACCCGUUUUUUGGCCAUUUUUCUGCUGGGGGGUCUUGGGACCCCGACCUUGGGGGGCUGGUUUUUGGGCGCGGCUGUGCCCGUGGCCUAUUGUUUGCACACGGAGGCCGCCCGCCAAGUCUGGUGCCAUUCCGAGUCCCGCGGACGAACUUCGCCCUCGCCCCCCACCAAGGCUAUAGCCCACCCGUUUUUUGGCCAUUUUUCCGCUGGGGGGUCUUGGGACCCCGACCUUCGGGGGCUGGUUUUUGGGCGCGGCUGUGCCCGUGGCCUAUUUUUGGCACACGGAGGCCGCCCGCCAAGUCUGGUGCCAUUCCGAGUUCCGCGGACGAACUUCGCCCACGCCCCCCACCAAAGCUAUAGCCCACCCGUUUUUUGGCCAUUUUUCCGCUGGGGGGUCUAGGGACCCCGAACUUCGGGGGCUGUUUUUUGGGCGCGGCUGUGCCCGUGGCCUAUUUUUGGCACACGGAGGCCGCCCGCCAAGUCUGGUGCCAUUCCGAGUCCCGCGGACGAACUUCGCCCACGCCCCCCACCAAGGCUAUAGCCCACCCGUUUUUUGGCCAUUUUUCCGCUGGGGGGUCUUGGGACCCCGACCUUCGGGGGCUUUUUUUUGGGCGCGGCUGUGCCCGUGGCCUAUUUUUUGCACACGGAGGCCGCCCGCCAAGUCUGGUGCCAUUCCGAGUCCCGCGGACGAACUUCGCCCACGCCCCCCACCAAGGCUAUAGCCCACCCGUUUUUUGGCCAUUUUUCCGCUGGGGGGUCUUGGGACCCCGACCUUCGGGGGCUGUUUUUUGGGCGCGGCUGUGCCCGUGGCCUAUUUUUGGCACACGGAGGCCACCCGCCAAGUCUGGUGCCAUUCCGAGUCCCGCGGACGAACUUCGCCCACGUCCCCCACCAAGGCUAUAGCCCACCCGUUUUUUGGCCAUUUUUCUGCUUGGGGGUCUUGGGACCCCGACCUUCGGGGGCUGUUUUUUGGGCGCGGCUGUGCCCGUGGCCUAUUUUUGACACACGGAGGCCGCCCGCCAAGUCUGGUGCCAUUCCGAGUCCCGCGGACGAACUUCGCCCACGCCCCCCACCAAGGCUAUAGCCCACCCGUCUUUUGGCCAUUUUUCCGCUGGGGGGUCUUGGGACCCCGACCUUCGGUUGCUGGUUUUUGGGCGCGGCUGUGCCCGUGGCCUAUUUUUGUUACACGGAGGCCGCCCGCCAAGUCUGGUGCAAUUCCGAGUCCCGCGGACGAACUUCGCCCACGUCCCCCACCAAGGCUAUAGCCCACCCGUUUUUUGGCCAUUUUUCCGCUGGGGGUUCUCGGGACCCCGACCUUCGGGGGCUGUUUUUUGGGUGCGGCUGUGCCCGUGGCCUAUUUUUGGCACACGGAGGCUGCCCGCCAAGUCUAGUGCCAUUCCUAGUCCCGCGGACGAACUUCGCCCACGCCCCCCACCAAGGCUAUAGCCCACCCGUUUUUUGGCCAUUUUUCCGCUGGGGGGUCUUGGGACCCCGACCUUCGGGGGCUGUUUUUUGGGCGCGGCUGUGCCCGUGGCCUAUUUUUGGCACACGGAGGCCGCCCGCCAAGUCUGGUGCCAUUCAGAGUCCCGCGGACAAACUUCGCCCACGCCCCCCACCAAGGCUAUAGCCCACCCGUUUUUUGGCCAUUUUUCUGCUUGGGGGUCUUGGGACCCCGACCUUCGGGGGCUGUUUUUUGGGCGCGGCUGUGCCCGUGGCCUAUUUUUGGCACACGGAGGCCGCCCGCCAAGUCUGGUGCCAUUCCGAGUCCCGCGGACGAACUUCGCCCACGCCCCCCACCAAGGCUAUAUGUCACGGCCCGGAUUGUUCCCACGCUAUGCCGUGCGGCCUUAGGCGCCAAAUUCGCACUCUAUUGGCCCUAAGUCAGCCUUACACCCAAAUCUGUUGCUGGAUUCGAGAAGCGGAAAAAGGAAUCACUCUAACUCACAAAGUAUGGGAGGAAAGAACUUAUAUUGCUCGAUAGAAUGUUUACAAAGCUAUGUGUGCUGGAAUUGUAUAUUGCUUUUUGAUUGAUUUGGCCAAAUGAGGCCUUCUCCGAUUUAUAGGGUACAAAGAAGUAUCUAGAGAGUCUCUAGAGUUACAUAAACACAUUAAUUACAAUGGAAAUAUCUACAUGCUCUACACAAGUCUCCAUGGCUCUAGAAUUCUCCAUGGGCCAGGCCAUGUGGAAGCUUGGGCCAUGACAUUCUCCCCCACCUAUUCCGGAGACGUCCUCGUCGACUCGCUGUGGAAGGCUUUGAUCUUGUCUUGGAACUGCCACAAAUCAUAUGCGGGCUCCCAACUUGUUUCGCUCUCGGGUAGUCCCUUCCAUUUGACAAAGUACUCUUGGCAUGGUGGAAAACUCUUCUUCCAAACCACACGGUCAGCCAAAAUGGCCUCCACUUCUUUGUCAUAGACCCUUGUGUUGCCCAGUGGAGGGCGCUUGGAUUCUCCCCUUUUCGGAUCUUCCGUAUCCCCAUGGAAUGGCUUCAAGGAACUCACGUGGAAGACCGGAUGGAGUUUUCGCCAAGAGGGUAACUCUAACUUGUACGACACAUUGCCGACCCUCUUGAUGAUGGGAAAUGGCCCCUCGUAUUUCCGGAUGAGGCCCUUGUGCAGCGAACGUGUGGACUUGUGCUGGGCUGGAACGAUCUUGACUAGCACCAUGUCCCCCACGUUGAACUCCAAGUGUCUACGCUUGCUAUCUGCCCAUUUCUUCAUCCGCUUGGUUGCUUUGUCGAGGUGCGCCCGUGCUAUGUCUGUUUGCUCAUGCCAUGACUUAGCCACUUUAUAUGCUGCAGGACACCUCCCGGUAUAGCUCGUGAUGAGCGUGUGUGGUGUAAGCGGCUGCUGUCCCAUGAUCACCUCAAAAGGGCUCCUCGAUGUAGCCUCACUCCGCUGCAAGUUGUAGGAAAAUUGGGCCACGUCCAGCAACUUUGCCCAGUCAUGCUGGUUGGCGCUCACAAAAUGCCGUAAGUACAGCUCCAACAAGGCAUUCACCCUCUCCGUUUGCCCAUCGGUUUGCGGAUGAAAGCUCGUAGAAAAGUGCAGCACCGACCCCAUAAGCUUGAACAACUCAGUCCAAAACCUCCCCGUAAACCGGCUGUCGCGGUCGCUAAUGAUGGAUUUCGGAAGUCCCCAAUACUUCACCACGUGCCUAAAGAAAAACUUGGCUGUGUCCUCCGCUGUGCACUCCUUCGGGGCAGGAAUGAAAGUGGCAUAUUUCGAGAAUCUGUCCACCACCACAACAAUAGUCGCAAACCCCUCCGAUUUUGGAAGACAAGUGAUGAAAUCCAUCGAUAUACUCUCCCACGGUCGAUCCGGAGUGGGCAGUGGCUCAAGCAACCCCGCGGGACAUUGUUGCUCUGUUUUGUCUUGUUGGCACACUAAGCACGUCCGCACGAACUGCUCCACUUCAUCCCGCAUCUGAGGCCAAUAGUAUGCCGACUCAAGCAAUGCCCGUGUCCGCCUUUGUCCCGGGUGUCCAGCCCACUUCGUAUCAUGACACUCCUUGAUCAAGUUCCGCCGCAAGUUUCCCCACUUCGGAACAUAGACACGCCGUCCCUUGGUGUAUAAAAGGCCAUCUUCGACCCAAAACCUCUUCGAUUUCCCCUGUUGUACGAGAGAAACCAGCUGCUUGGCCAAGGGAUCAUGCUCCGUCCCCUCCUUGAUGAGUGUAAGAAGCUCUCCUUGUAUCCGACUCAUGGCAGCAAGCUCGACCUUCCGACUCAAGGCGUCCGCUACCAAAUUAGCCUUUCCGGGCUUAUACUCCAGCACGUAGUCGAAUUCGGCCAAGAAAUCUUGCCAUCUCGCUUGCUUGGGACUAAGCUUCUUUUGGCUUUGGAAGUAACUAGUGGCCACGUUGUCCGUCUUCACCACGAACUUGGACCCAAGCAAGUAGUGCCUCCAUGUGCGCAAGCAGUGCACUACUGCCGUCAUCUCCUUCUCUUGUACCGUGUACCGCCGCUCCGUAUCGUUGAGCUUUCGGCUCUCAAAGGCUAUUGGAUGUUCGGCCUGCAUCAACACACCUCCAAUAGCAAAAUCGGAAGCAUCAGUGUGUACCUCAAAUGGUAAGUCAUGGUUUGGCAGCACAAGUACCGGCUCUUCCAUCACGGCCUUCUUGAGGGCAUCGAAGGCUUGCUGGCUCCUUUCCGUCCAUUCCCACUUGGUAGUCUUUUUGAGCAAAUCAGUGAGUGGUGCGGCAAUGGCGGAAUAACCUCUAAUGAACCUCCGAUAAUAGUUGGCAAGUCCUAAGAAAGAGCGCAACUCAGUCACCUUUGUGGGCGGCUCCCAUUCGGCAAUGGCUCGGACCUUGGCCUUGUCCAUGAGCAGCGUCCCAUCUCUGAUUUUAUGGCCAAGAAAAUCCACCUCCAGUUUUGCGAACGAACACUUCUCCCUCUUCACAUACAGCUCAUUUUCCCGCAACACCCCGAACACGACCCACAAGUGCUCAGCAUGUUCCGCCAAGGUGUUGCUAUAGACCACGAUGUCAUCAAGAUACACCACUACAAACUGAUCAAGGUAUGGCUGGAAUAUGCGGUUCAUGAGCGUGCAAAAUGUGGCUGGAGCAUUGGUGAGGCCGAAAGGCAUUACCUUGAACUCGUACGCUCCAUACCUCGUCACACAAGCGGUCUUCGGCUCAUCUCCCUCCGCAAUCCGUACUUGGUAAUAUCCCGAUCUAAGGUCCAGCUUGGAGAAAUAUUUGGCCCGUCCAAGUUGAUCGAACAAGUCCGCAAUCAGUGGGAUGGGGUAUUUGUUCUUCACGGUCACCUUGUUAAGAGCCCGGUAGUCGAUACAUAGUCGAAGUGAGCCAUCAUGCUUCCGCUGGAACAGCACCGGUGCUCCGUAUGGUGCUUUCGAGGGCUGGAUGUAUCCUGCGUCCAGCAGCUCCUUAAUUUGCCUCCGCAACUCCUCUAGCUCCGGUGGAGACAUGCGGUAAGGUGCUCGUGCAGGCGGUUUGGCACCCGGCUCCAGCUCAAUCUUGGAUGUUGGUGGCCUCGAAGUACCUCUCCAUGGACCACAAGAAGUUCUCGAUCUCCUGGGCAUCCCUCAAGGACUUGGCCUACCGCCUCCGGUAUGGGCUCCAUGGCCAUAGUGUCCUUCCCGUCACCAACCUCAUGAAUGGCCACCGCCUUCUUGCAAAGCGCCCAAUCCAUCUUAGUCUCUUCAAGGCCCGUGUGAAGCUCCUCCACUUGAGCCCUGAGCGCCUCAAUAGAGUUCAGAACCACCGCUUGGAACUCCUCAAGGCUUUGGCGUUGCGCCACCACAUCUUGGCUUAGAUCGCCCAUCCGCUCACCAAGAUCAUCCACCUCCUCCAUCUUUUGCUCAAAGAUCUCGAGGCGUUCUUUAAUCUCAGCGACAGAAAUCUCCCCACAGACAAUCCGAUUCUCCAUGGCGUUGAGCAAGUCCACUGACUUCUCCUUGCUGUUUUUCCCCUUCUUCGUAUUGGGGUUAGGCUCCCUUCCCCUUUGGUCAUCAUGAGUGCUCUCUGACAUCCUUCCUUUCGAACAACGCAACUACCCACGAGUGUAGACGGCUCUGAUACCAACUGUCACGGCCCGGAUUGUUCCCACGCUAUGCCGUGCGGCCUUAGGCGCCAAAUUCGCACUCUAUUGGCCCUAAGUCAGCCUUACACCCAAAUCUGUUGCUGGAUUCGAGAAGCGGAAAAAGGAAUCACUCUAACUCACAAAGUAUGGGAGGAAAGAACUUAUAUUGCUCGAUAGAAUGCUUACAAAGCUAUGUGUGCUGGAAUUGUAUAUUGCUUUUUGAUUGAUUUGGCCAAAUGAGGCCUUCUCCUAUUUAUAGGGUACAAAGAAGUAUCUAGAGAGUCUCUAGAGUUACAUAAACACAUUAAUUACAAUGGAAAUAUCUACAUGCUCUACACAAGUCUCCAUGGCUCUAGAAUUCUCCAUGGGCCAGGCCAUGUGGAAGCUUGGGCCAUGACAUAUAGCCCACCUGUUUUUUGGCCAUUUUUCCGUUGGGGGGUCUUGGGACCCCGACCUUCGGGGGCUGGUUUUUGGGCGCGGCUGUGCCCGUGGCCUAUUUUUGGCACACGGAGGCCGCCCGCCAAGUCUGGUGCCAUUCCGAGUCCCGCGGACGAACUUCGCCCACGCCCCCCACCAAGGCUAUAGCCCACCCGUUUUUUGGCCAUUUUUCCGCUGGGGGGUCUUGGGACCCCGACCUUCGGGGGCUUUUUUUUUGGCGCGGCUGUGCCCGUGGCCUAUUUUUGGCACACCGAGUCCGCCCGCCAAGUCUGGUGCCAUACCGAGUCCCGCGGACGAACUUCGCCCACGCCCCCCACCAAGGCUAUAGCCCACCCGUUUUUUGGCCAUUUUUCCGCUGGGGGGUCUUGGGACCCCGACCUUCGGGGGCUGUUUUUUGGGCGCGGCUGUGCCCGUAGCCUAUUGUUGGCACACGGAGGCCGCCCGCCAAGUCUGGUGCCAUUCCGAGUCCCGCGGACGAACUUCGCCCACGCCCCCCACCAAGGCUAUAGCCCACCCGUUUUUUGGCCAUUUUUCCACUGGGGGGUCUUGGGGCCCCGACCUUCGGGGGCUGUUUUUUUGGCGCGGCUGUGCCCGUGGCCUAUUUUUGGCACACGGAGGCCGCCCGCCAAGUCUGGUGCCAUUCCGAGUCCCGCGGACGAACUUCGCCCACGCCCCCCACCAAGGCUAUAGCCCUCCCGUUUUUUGGCCAUUUUUCCGCUGGGGGGUCUUGGGACCCCGACCUUCGGGGGCUGUUUUUUGGGCGCGGCUGUGCCCGUGGCCUAUUUUUGGCACACGGAGGCCGCCCGCCAAGUCUGGUGCCAUUCCGAGUCCCGCGGACGAACUUCGCCCACGCCCCCCACCAAGGCUAUAGCCCACCCGUUUUUUGGCCAUUUUUCCGCUGGGGGGUCUUGGGACCCCGACCUUCGGGAGCUGGUUUUUGGGCGCGGCUGUUCCCGUGGCCUAUUUUUGGCACACGGAGGCCGCCCACCAAGUCUGGUGCCAUUCCGAGUCCCGCGGACGAACUUCGCCCACGCCCCCCACCAAGGCUACAGCCCACCCGUUUUUUGGCCAUUUUUCCGCUGGGGGGUCUUGGGACCCCGACCUUCGGGGGCUGCUUUUGGGGCGCGGCUGUGCCUGUGGCCUAUUUUUGGCACACGGACGCCGCCCGGCAAGUCUGGUGCCAUUCCGAGUCCCGCGGACGAACUUCGCCCACGCCCCCCACCAAGGCUAUAGCCCACCCGUUUUUUGGCCAUUUUUCCGCUGGGGGGUCUUGGGACCCCGACCUUCGGGGGCUGUUUUUUGGGCGCGGCUGUGCCCGUGGCCUAUUUUUGGCACACGGAGGCCGCCCGCCAAGUCUGGUGCCAUUCCGAGUCCCGCGGACGAACUUCGCCCACGCCCCCCACCAAGGCUAUAGCCCACCCGUUUUUUGGCCAUUUUUCCGCUGGGGGGUCUUGGGACCCCGACCUUCGGGGGCUUGUUUUUGGGCGCGGCUGUGCCCGUGGCCUAUUUUUGGCACACGGAGGCCGCCCGCCAAGUCUGGUGCCAUUCCGAGUCCCGCGGACGAACUUCGCCCACGCCCCCCACCAAGGCUAUAGCCCACCCGUUUUUUGGCCAUUUUUCCGCUGGGGGGUCUUGGGACCCCGACCUUCGGGGGCUGGUUUUUGGGCGAGGCUGUGCCCGUGGCCUAUUUUUGGCACACGGAGGCCGCCCGCCAAGUCUGGUGCCAUUCCGAGUACCGCGGACGAACUUCGCCCACGCCCCCCACCAAGCCUAUAGCCCACCCGUUUUUUGGCCAUUUUUCCGCUGGGGGGUCUUGGGACCCCGACCUUCGGGGGCUGGUUUUUGGGCACGGCUGUGCCCGUGGCCUAUUUUUGGCACACGGAGGCUGCCCGCUAAAUCUGUUGCCAUUCCGAGUCGCGCGGACGAACUUCGCCCACGCCCCCCACCAAGGCUAUAGCCCACCCGUUUUUUGGUCAUUUUUCCGCUGGGGGGUCUUGGGACCCCGACCUUCGCGGGCUGGUUUUUGGGCGCGGCUGUGCCCGUGGCCUAUUUUUGGCACACGGAGGCCGCCCGCCAAGUCUGGUGCCAUUCCGAGUCCCGCGGACGAACUUCGCCCACGCCCCCCACCAAGGCUAUAGCCCACCCGUUUUUUGGCCAUUUUUCCGCUGGGGGUCUUGGGACCCCGACCUUCGGGGGCUGGUUUUUGGGCACGGCUGUGCCCGUGGCCUAUUUUUGGCACACGGAGGCUGCCCGCUAAGUCUGGUGCCAUUCCGAGUCGCGCGGACGAACUUCGCCCACGCCCCCCACCAAGGCUAUAGCCCACCCGUUUUUUGGCCAUUUUUCCGCUGGGGGGUCUUGGGACCCCGACCUUCGGGGGCUGGUUUUUGGGCGCGGCUGUGCCCGUGGCCUAUUUUUGGCACACGGAUGCCGCCCGCCAAGUCUUGUGCCAUUCCGAGUCCCGCGGACGAACUUCGCCCACGCCCCCUGAUGAGCAUAUAAUACAUACAUAUUUUACCAUUAAUUAAAUAAUUGUUAGUUAUAUUUAUUUGUUAUUUUUAAUUAAUUGUAUUGUUUUAUUGAAUAGGGAAUUAAUUAGAGAUUAUGGAUAAAAAGAGCAUAAAGAAAUUCAAUUUGUGAGCAUUAAAGAUUAAUUAACUUGGAAGCAAUUAUGCUUACAUGCAUGUGGAAAUCAAGACAAGGAAACCGAAUUCAACAAUUCAUUUAGCCAUGCACGUGCAGACAAAGAAGAUAAAAGGGGUGGAAAGCAAUAGAAAGGGACCCGCACUUGACUUUCAUGAGUGGAAAAGGAAUGAAAAUUCUUUUUGAAGUACACGUGAUAAAGCCAAAGUUAAAAGCUUUGCCAGCACAUGAAGGAUAAAAGGAAUUCUAAUUGGGCUUUGCAAGAGUGGGCUGAUUUUAGCUUGUGUGAGCAUUUCACUAGCUAUCAUUAUUUGACAAGGAUUCGGCUAGGGAUUAAAGAUAUAAAAGCCGAACUUUGGCUUUUGCAAAGGGGGAGCCGCCAGAAGGGAGAACUGGAGACGCAAGGAUUCAAGACAGAGAAGAAAAUCUGCAGCAAUUCGGCUUUCCUAUGGCUGAAUUUAUUUAUUUUGUUGCUCCCAAUUCAAGUAUGUCUAACUAAUUUUCUUAUACUGAGGUUAAAGAUGAAACCCUAUUCAAUGAAAUAAUUAUCUUUUUAUUUAAUUAAUUUCCUAUAUAUGUUCUUUGAUGAUUAUGGUUUUUAUUUCACAUGAUUAAUUGGAUGUUAAUAAAAUCUUUUCAUCAAUUCUGUCAUGCAUUAUUGAUUGUUAGGAUUAAUAUUCAAUUAAAUCUAUGCUUGGAUCUAUAAAGUUUAUACAUGAUUAUCUUUGACUCUAUGUCUUUCAUUAAAUUGUUUACAUAGAGUGCUUAGUAAACUUUGACUCUUUGUUAUUCAAUAUGUUUACAUGGGAUACUUAGAUAUCGUAUUAUUAAGUAGAAAAAGAACCUACAUUAGAUUUAAUUACUUGGGCUUAAUUGUUAUAUCCAUGAGAUGACAUAGAUUGAUUUCGAGUUGUCACUCUAAAAUUGGGGAUUAAUUAAUAUUUAGAUAAUUACUAAUUGAAUAGUGGUGGAUUCCGAAACCUUGGUAAUUUUUAUCUCAUUAAAUUCUCAUUUACUUUAAUUGUUUUCUUAGUUUAAUUAGUUUAAUUUCUCUUAAAACUCAAUUUGCUCAACUAGGUUAGAAUUAAUAUUAAUUUUAGAUUUAAAUUAGACUUUUCAAUUUAUAACAAUCCCUGUGGGAUCGACCUCGUUACCACUUUUCUAUCUCUAGAUUCGUGCGCUUGCGAGUAUAUUAAAAUUUUCACAACACUCCCCACCAAGGCUAUAGCCCACCCGUUUUUUGGCCAUUUUUCCGCUGGGGGGUCUUGGGACCCCGACCUUCGGGGGCUGUUUUUUGGGCGCGGCUGUGCCCGUGGCCUAUUUUUGGCACACGGAGGCCGCCCGCCAAGUCUGGUGCCAUUCCGAGUCCCGCGGACGAACUUCGCCCACGCCCCCCACCAAGGCUAUAGCCCACCCGUUUUUUGGCCAUUUUUCCGCUGGGGGGUCUUGGGACCCCGAACUUCGGGGGCUGUUUUUUGGGCGCGGCUGUGCCCGUGGCCUAUUUUUGGCACACGGAGGCCGCCCGCCAAGUCUGGUGCCAUUCCGAGUCCCGCGGACGAACUUCGCCCACGCCCCCCACCAAGGCUAUAGCCCACCCGUUUUUUGGCCAUUUUUCCGCGGGGGGGUCUUGGGACCCCGACCUUCGGGGGCUGUUUUUGGGCGCGGCUGUGCCCGUGGCCUAUUUUUGGCACACGGAGGCCGCCCGCCAAGUCUGGUGCCAUUCCGAGUCCCGCGGACGAACUUCGCCCACGCCCCCCACCAAGGCUAUAGCCCACCCGUUUUUUGGCCAUUUUUCCGCUGGGGGGUCUUGGGACCCCGACCUUCGGGGGCUGGUUUUUGGGCGCGGCUGUGCCCGUGGCCUAUUUUUGGCACACGGAGGCCGCCCGCCAAGUCUGGUGCCAUUCCGAGUCCCGCGGACGAACUUCGCCCACGCCCCCCACCAAGGCUAUAGCCCACCCGUUUUUUGGCCAUUUUUCCGCUGGGGGGUCUUCGGACCCCGACCUUCGGGGGCUGGUUUUUGGGCGCGGCUGUGCCCGUGGCCUAUUUUUGGCACACGGAGGCCGCCCGCCAAGUCUGGUGCCAUUCCGAGUCCCGCGGACGAACUUCGCCCACGCCACCCACCAAGGCUAUAGCCCACCCGUUUUUUGGCCAUUUUUCCGCUGGUGGGUCUUGGGACCCCGACCUUCGGGGGCUGUUUUUUGGGCGCGGCUGUGCCCGUGGCCUAUUUUUGGCACACGGAGGCCGCCCGCCAAGUCUGGUGCCAUUCCGAGUCCCGCGGACGAACUUCGCCCACGCCACCCACCAAGGCUAUAGCCCACCCGUUUUUUGGCCAUUUUUCCGCUGGUGGGUCUUGGGACCCCGACCUUCGGGGGCUGUUUUUUGGGCGCGGCUGUGCCCGUGGCCUAUUUUUGGCACACGGAGGCCGUCCGCCAAGUCUGGAGCCAUUCCGAGUCCCGCGGACGAACUUCGCCCACGCCCCCCACCAAGGCUAUAGCCCACCCGUUUUUUGGCCAUUUUUCCGCUGGGGGGUCUUGGGACCCCGACCUUCGGGGGCUGUUUUUUGGGCGCGGCUGUGCCCGUGGCCUAUUUUUGGCACACGGAGGCCGCCCGCCAAGUCUGGUGCCAUUCCGAGUCCCGCGGACGAACUUCGCCCACGCCCCCCACCAAGGCUAUAGCCCACCCGUUUUUUGGCCAUUUUUCCGCAGGGGGGUCUUGGGACCCCGACCUUCGGGGGCUGUUUUUUGGGCGCGGCUGUGCCCGUGGCCUAUUUUUUAGGCACAGGAGGCCGCCCGCCAAGUCUGGUGCCAUUCCGAGUCCCGCGGACGAACUUCGCCCACGCCCCCCACCAAG
rnacentral:lncRNA from 1 species